ACUCGGGCAAGAGUCAUAAUGACAAAGCAGAAAGGCUCCUUACCGCCCUCCGUGGCUGCAAACCCUACACCUCUUUCCAAAGCAUUAGCUCAGCGUGGUGGUGGCAGGGUCCAGGGAUCCACUUUUCUUGAUUAAACAGAACGCCGACCAGCAGAUCUGGAACCCAGGCUUGGUGCUGGGCUGGAUUCAGCGUCUGUGGGGUCCCACUGGCAGGCGGGCAGUGCCAGUCAGCCCCGGGGCUGGUGGGCAAGAGGGCAUGUCCUGUCCCCAGCCCAUGUGUGGGUGGGUCAGCACUGGGCCCAGGCCCCAUAUGUGAGGUUCUUUUCUGAGGAUGCCUCCCUCAUCCCCAGACUCCAGACUCUCAGGCCUGAUUUUGAUUUCAAGUGUUAGCAGAGGGAGACUGGGGACAAAACAGUCCGGAACGAGGAGACUCCCUCUUGCUGGUUAUUUCUCGGCCCAGCCGUGCCGAUGACCGAUACUGUCUUCCCAAAGGCCAUGGAGGCUGUUUUCCACGGGCAAAGGUGAGAGGUCUGCUCUCUUCCCCGAGACGGGGUGUCCUGGGGUGUCAGAGCAGCUGGGCCUUAAGCACUCAGUCCAGCUCUCUUGCUUUCAGAUAGGAAAGCAAAGAAACUGAGGAAACUGAGGCUCAGAGGGGGCUGGUUUCCCCAGGGCCAUCGCAGGGCUUCUAGACUCUGCUGCCGGCCCAGAGACCACAGCUCCUCCCGCAGCAUCUGGUAUUCAAAGGGAGCGGAUCACCUCCAGAGAUGGCACAGGUCAUGGGAGGGCUUAUCCAGCAAGAACCCUGAUGCUGUCAGGGAGGCAGGACAAGAGCAGCUUCACUGGAGAAAAGCACUUAGGGCUGAGGGAAAUGAGGGGAGAGUCUCUCCUGAGAACUCAGAAAAAGGAGAAGAAAUAGUGGAGGUUUUGCUGGUGAGGAGAAGAGAACAGAGCUCUCAUGGCUUCAGCUCCCCUCCAGGAUGGAUGCUGGCCAAACACCCACCUGGCAUCUGUAGAAGGAGACCCCAGCGGCAC
ensembl:lncRNA